CUGGUGAGACAGGUGAUCGCUGGCGUCGCGAGACGCGGGAGGAAAGUCCGAGCACCACAGGGCGGGAUGCUGGAUAACGUCCAGUCGGGGUAACCCGAAGGAUAGUGCCACAGAAAGCAAACCGCGAUCCGUCGCACGGCAACGGCUGCGCCUCGCGCAGUCGGUCGGGCGGCUCGACGUAAGGGUGAAAGCGUGGGGUAAGAGCCCACGGCGGCGCUCGGUGACGAGCGUCUGCGGUAAACCCCAUCCGGUGCAAGACCAAAUAGGGAAGCCCUGCCGCAAGGCAGAACCAGUGGCCCGCUGGCUUCCGGGUAAGGUCGCUCGAGCCGUCGAGCAAUCGGCGGCCUAGAGGAAUGAUCGCCAUCGCCGCGCGGGUGACCGUUCGGCGGUACAGAACUCGGCUUACGGCUCACCAGGGCU
rnacentral:RNase_P_RNA from 1 species